UAGCCUAAUGGUUAAGGCUAUGGAUCGUUAAUCCGGAGACGGCGGGUUCGAUUCCUGU
rnacentral:tRNA from 1 species